rnacentral:misc_RNA from 1 species
AUACUGAAUGCAGCAAUCAUGCUUGAAUUCUUCUUUCAAGCAGAAACCCAAUAUGCAGAGUUGCUUUCAAGGUUUUCUAUUUAAAUGUAGAAAUAUAUUUUUCUUUCUAAGAUAUUGGUCAACUUUUCUAGGGGAUGGUAUGUAUGUAAUACCUGGCUAUUUUCUUAUUACUGGGAAUGUGUUCAGUGUUUUCUAUCAAGCUUUUAGUUGGAUGCACCACAAGUAUGCUUCCGAGUUGAUUGAAAUUUGAUAGAUAUAGUACUGAAUACGGCAAUGAUGUUUGGGCAUCAAUAUGACCUUUUAACUAUUAUGAUCAAA